rnacentral:rRNA from 1 species
UACGAAGGGUGCAAACGUUGCUCGGAAUCAUUGGGCGUAAAGCGCACGUAGGCGGCCUGUUAAGUCGGAUGUGAAAUCCCUCGGCUCAACCGAGGACGUGCAUUCGAAACUGGCAAGCUCGAGUAUGGAAGAGGGUCGCGGAAUUCCCGGUGUAGAGGUGAAAUUCGUAGAUAUCGGGAGGAACACCGGCGGCGAAGGCGGCCCCCUGGCCCGCAACUGACGCUCAUGGUCGAAAGCGUGGGGAGCAAACAGG